ACUUAAACAGCUUAGGGAGCAUUAUAUUGAAGAUAUAAAGGUAAUUUAUAAAUUUUUAAGUA
rnacentral:tRNA from 1 species